rnacentral:rRNA from 1 species
UCCACACCGUAAACGAUGAUUACUCGAUGCUAGCGAUAUACUGUUAGUGUCUAAGCGAAAGCGAUAAGUAAUCCACCUGGGGAGUACGGUCGCAAGAUUGAAACUCAAAGGAAUUGACGGGGGCCCGCACAAGCGGUGGAGCAUGUGGUUUAAUUCGAUGAUACGCGAGGAACCUUACCUGGGCUUAAAUGUAUUUUGACAGGCUGGGAAACCAGUCCUUCUUCGGACAAUUUACAAGGUGCUGCAUGGUUGUCGUCAGCUCGUGCUGUGAGGUGUCGGGUUAAGUCCCAUAACGAGCGCAACCCCUAUCCUUAGUUGCCAGCGAGUAAUGUCGGGGACUCUAAGGAAACUGCCGGUGCAAACCGUGAGGAAG